rnacentral:rRNA from 1 species
UACGUAGGGGGCAAGCGUUGUCCGGAAUUAUUGGGCGUAAAGAGCUCGUAGGCGGUUGGGCAAGUCACGUGUGAAAUCUCCACGCUCAACGUGGAGGCGCCACGUGAGACUGCCCUGACUCGAGUCCGGUAGGGGAGCGUGGAAUUCCCGGUGUAGCGGUGAAAUGCGCAGAUAUCAGGAGGAACACCGAUGGCGAAGGCAGGUCUCUGGGCCACUACUGACGCUGAGAAGCGAAAGCAUGGGGAGCGAACAGG